AUGUAGUGAGCUCAAGUGGCUCAUUAAGCAACUAAACAUAGAGUAGCGAACCAGAGACGAGACGAGAAACCUGCUGAUUGUUCGCUCGCCUCACCGCCGCUGCCAACGAGCAUAAACUCAAUCAAACUCUCAUGUCCUGCAACAAUCCAAAUUCACCAUUUAUUUUUAUUUCAGAAAACUAACUGUUUAGUGAAAAUCAAACUCACUGUAUGGAAGAGUUUGGCGAGUGGAGCUCAAUGGCGGGAAUCGGAGGAAGCGGAUGACGGCUUGUCGGAGUAGCCGUCGUGCUCCUCUUCAUCACCUUGAAUUCGUGCAGGAAUGUGGAAGCCGGGGAAUCCGCCGUAUCCGGAGGCGAAGCCAAUGCCGGAAAAUGAGGAAGGGUAGAAAGGCUGAUGAUCGGCGGCGGGGGCGUCGAUCCAAGCACGAACUGAAGGUGUGUUACUGGACUGAAGGGGUCCCCUCUGUGAAACCAUCUGGUUGUGGCCGAGCAGCUGCUGGAGCAGCGGCUGCGGCGGAGGCGGCGGCGGCGGGUUGAAGAAGUAUCCCGCUGGGGCGUCGG
rnacentral:lncRNA from 1 species